UUUCUGAACGUAUGGAGUGUCAAAUUACAAUGUUAUGCUCUUGGGGGUAUUCUCAUAAGGCAAUCGAUUGAAUAAACAUACCAUAUUUUCUUUGGCUUAGUUUCAAUUUGUUCCUUUUGUUGAAAUCUGAAACCGUAGAGGGGAAAACUUUUAAGGUCAAGAAAACAUUCCUUUCUAGUACAAAUACUUACGUUAAGAGAAUUGUUUUAUCUCUCAUUUCUAUGAAAAACAUAUAUCUACUAUCUAUGAAUGUAAAUUUAGUGAUAUCAGGAAUUUGGGGCACAUGUGAGGAAAUCUUUGUGAGUGUCCCUCAUGACGGACAUUAGCAGCUGCAAAAGAGAUUGCAAUGAUAGAAUUGGUGGAAUUAUGAGCACAAAAAGAAAGCCAAAAGAUUGUAAAUGGAGUGGAAACCUCUGUUUGUUUAUGUUUCAGUUGAAUGUCUACUAUAGAUAGAGCUCCAGGCAUUUCAGUUUGGAAUGGUUUGCAUAUUCUUCUCUUAGAGCCUCUUUAUCAUCUCCUCUACAUGCUUCAGGAUUUGUUUGCUACACAACUUUUCUAUUUAUGAGCCCCUGUGAAAAGUUUCAGUUUCUCUUGCUGUACUAUAUUUCCAAAUACUUCUAGAAUUAUGGUACUCCUUUCCCUCCCAUAUGUGUUUUAUGCUUCCCCUUCCAUGUUUCAAGUAACGCUGUUUUUGAACCAUCUGAAAUUCCUUUAGUGAUGACAACUUUGUUUUCCUUGCCAACUACGACUCCUAAAUAGUGAGAGGGAUUGUCAAAUGUGUGACCCAACUUUGCUAAUGGUUAGAAUGUAAUAACAUGUACGGCCAUCUUCAUUGAACUUGUGAUAUUCAUAUUCAAGUGUUAAAGGAGACGUUUCUCAUUCGUAUAAUAUUGCUCAACUGAACUUUAAGGAAUGCAAUCUUGCCUAUUUUAGUUUUUUUUUUUUCUUUUUUUUUUUUGACUGAUCAUAUCUGGAUCUUCCUCAUGUCAUAUCUUAUGGAUUUUUAGUUUUAACAGAUUUUUAUCUACCCUAAAAAGGCAAACUUUUAUUCAUUGCAUUUAUGCAUAGCAUACACCAUGUUCGUUCCUAUAUCUAUCCUUGGUUUUCAUUUUUUCCUUCCCAACAUUCUUAUUAAUAUUUAAUUUACUUGACAAGUUAAGAACAUCAUGAGAAAGUUGGUGAGAUUGGUCAAUUAUCAGUAACCUGAUUUAAGAUUGGUACCCAUUCAUAUCAGCUUACAUGUUGGUCAUUUUAGUUUCAAGAAUGUAAGAAGAAAGUUCGGCUCUUCGAAUUCAAGAUUUCAGCCUGAAAUGUCAAUUUGCAUCCCUCUUCGAAGUAUUGACUAAACAGAGGCAAAGAAAGAAAAUUUGGAUAUGGGAGGUGGGAUAGAGGACCAUGUAUAUAUCAGAAAUGCAAUUAACAACUGAAGUGAUCAGAAACAGUUGGGUUUGACUACAAGGAAUAGAAAUUUCAGUAAGCAAACCGAUUUAGGAAUGCUCUGGCUACGAGUAAAAGGUGAUAAGGAGAGGGAAUUCUUGAAGAACCAUCUAUGGCAGCUGUGAAGUCACUGACCAGAGAAUGACAGAAGAAAUGACUUCAAAUGAAUAGCUCAUGAAGGAAUUAUGGAGGCUUUUCUCAAUUUGAAGCAGCAAAAGCACUUGGGUCAGAUGCUAUGUCAGGGAGCAAGAGUCAGAGAGAGUGAUCUCACCAAUUCGGCAGUCUGAAGCAUGUCGACAUGAUGACCUCUGGAGCUAAGAGCUCUGUAGAUUACAUCUGAUUCUUUGAAAGCAUCUGCCUCAAUCACCACUGCAUUCGCUGCUGCGCCUGCCCAGAAUGGUCUGUCAUUUUUCACCAAAACAACCUAUGUUAGAGUUGCAUCGUCUAUACUGCCACGACUUUCCAUGAAUUCUUCGGGCGAAACUCUCAAACUCAAACUUUUAAGAAAAUUAGUGGAUUCUUUUUUUUCCACUUUUCCUAAUUGUAAACAGAUUCUGAAACUAACCUCAAUCUUGCUAGGAACAACGAGAAGGGUACUGAAAAUACAAGCUUUUGUUUUUUUUUGUACCACCAGUUUUUGAGUUGAUCAAUACUUACUCUUUGAGAAUGUCUUUGAGCACAGUGCUCUUCCCAGCUCCCAUACCGCCGCCCAUGAAAAGGAG